rnacentral:rRNA from 1 species
CCAGCAGCCGCGGUAAUUCCAGCUCCAAUAGCGUAUAUUAAAGUUGUUGCAGUUAAAAAGCUCGUAGUCGGAUUUUGGCAUCACGCCGUACUGUCUGCCGAUUGGUAUGCACGGUUUGGCGGGUGCUUCCUUCCGGAGGCUCGUUCCCUCCUUAACUGAAGGGUUCGUUGGUUCCGGUUCUUUUACUUUGAGAAAAUUAGAGUGUUCAAAGCAGGCCUAUGCUCUGAAUAGGUUAGCAUGGAAUAAUAGAAUAGGACUUUGGUUCUAUUUUGUUGGUUUCUAGGACCGAAGUAAUGAUUAAUAGGGACAGUUGGGGGCAUUCAUAUUCCAUUGUCAGAGGUGAAAUUCUUGGAUUAACGGAAGAUGAACUUCUGCGAAAGCAUCUGCCAAGGAUGUUUUCAUUGAUCAAGAACGAAAGU